rnacentral:misc_RNA from 1 species
AAAAAAAAAAAAAAAAAACAGUGCAAGCAUGAUGACACUUGAACUUAUUUUAUGUCCCUCAAAUCUCAAUUGGCCAAAUACAUAAAUUGCCUCUGAAGUUUUCAUGAAAGGUUCAGUGAAAACCUAAACUUUUAUUCUGACUUAUUUAGCCAUUUGGGAAAUACAUGUUUUUGAAGAUCCGUGAGGCUAAAGUUAAAAUUCCACCAGCUAAAACAAUGGAGGCAAAAAGGUAGAUAGAUAGAGAGAGAGAGAGA